AUCCUUCUGGGGGACAGUGCCUGGUGGGUAGUUUGACUGGGGCGGUCGCCUCCCAAAAAGUAACGGAGGCGUGCGACGGUAGGCUCAGAACGGUCAGAAAUCGUUCGUGGAGUGCAAUGGCAUAAGCCUGCCUGACUGUGAGACUGACAAGUCGAGCAGAGUCGAAAGACGGUCAUAGUGAUCCGGUGGUUCUGAGUGGAAGGGCCAUCGCUCAACGGAUAAAAGGUACGCCGGGGAUAACAGGCUGAUACCGCCCAAGAGUUCACAUCGACGGCGGUGUUUGGCACCUCGAUGUCGGCUCAUCACAUCCUGGGGCUGAAGCAGGUCCCAAGGGUAUGGCUGUUCGCCAUUUAAAGUGGUACGCGAGCUGGGUUUAGAACGUCGUGAGACAGUUCGGUCCCUAUCUACCGUGGGCGUUGGAGACUUGAGGGAAGCUGUUCUUAGUACGAGAGGACCGGAAUGGACACACCUCUGGUGUUUCGGUUAUGACGCCAGUCGUAUUGCCGAGUAGCUAUGUGUGGAAAGGAUAACCGCUGAAAGCAUCUAAGCGGGAAGCCCCUCCCAAGAUUAGGUCUCCCUGACAGUUUAACUGUCCUAAAGAUCCCUCGGAGACUACGAGGUUGAUAGGCACGGUGUGGAAGAGUAGUGAUACUUGAAGCUAACGUGUACUAAUUGAUCGUGAGGCUUGACCAUAUAACACCCAA
rnacentral:rRNA from 1 species